AGGACACUUCCAGAGCAGUAUGCCUGGAAUGGAGACUCCAAGUAUCCUAGCAACCUGUCAAGAGCCAAAGUUGAAAUACACUGGAUCAGGAAGUGGGCUUGCCUGAUCAUGAAUUCAGCAUAUGAGAAGAAACACACUGAACUACGAUGGCGUGGACACUUUAUGAGUUACAUUUCUUUAUAAGCAGCUGCUGACAAUGCUGUUCUUAUAUGAUGUUUAGGGUGUUUAAAUACACAUAGUACAGUAUAAAACUUAGGGGGAAAAGAAAGACUGGUGGGAGAUGCUGACACUGCUCUGCAGAUCUACAGAUUUGUUAAGUGUUUCUGCCCAGCCAGAGAACAGUUUAGUUCUCUGAGCUUUUGUCUGACACCGGCCGGAUCCUGCUGCGACGUUUUGCUGCCAACAGCAAGGCUGCAUGUGUUCGGAGCUGACCGAUCCCCUGCAGUGGAAGAGCAGAAUCUCAUCCAAGAGCCUCUCCGCUGUGGGCUUUGCCAUUCAUGUUCUCACUUAACAGCCACAGCUGGCUGCUAUUACCCUUAAUUACGCUUCUCCUGGGCUCAGUAAAUGCUCUAUACGUCUGGAAACUAUUAAAAAUGUGUACAGUGAUUGGAAACCUGAGCUCUCAAACACUCUUCUUUCUCCUGAGAGGCUUUUCUUAAAAUCUUUGUCCCAGACAGCUCUCAACCCAUCUCAAUUCUAGUAUGUAAUCUCAGUUUAUUAGAAUCAGGUAUUAG
rnacentral:lncRNA from 1 species